GCGGAGGAAAAGAAACCAACCGGGAUUGCCCUAGUAACGGCGAGUGAAGCGGCAAGAGCUCAAAUUUGAAAGCUGGCUCCUUCGGGGUCCGCAUUGUAAUUUGCAGAGGAUGCUUCGGGAGCGGUCCCCAUCUAAGUGCCCUGGAACGGGCCGUCAUAGAGGGUGAGAAUCCCGUCUGGGAUGGGGUGCCCGCGCCCGUGUGAAGCUCCUUCGACGAGUCGAGUUGUUUGGGAAUGCAGCUCUAAUUGGGUGGUAAAUUUCAUCUAAAGCUAAAUAUUGGCCGGAGACCGAUAGCGCACAAGUAGAGUGAUCGAAAGAUGAAAAGCACUUUGAAAAGAGAGUUAAACAGCACGUGAAAUUGUUGAAAGGGAAGCGCUUGCGAUCAGACUCGCCCGCGGGGUUCAGCCGGCAUUCGUGCCGGUGUACUUCCCCGUGGGCGGGCCAGCGUCGGUUUGGGCGGCCGGUCAAAGGC
rnacentral:rRNA from 1 species